GCAAAACCGUUGAAAAAGAGAAGUAAGCAAUUGGAAUUCAUAACAGAGAGCCCUUACUGGUGGAAGAGGGUAUGAAUACAUCUGCUGAAUGGACUUUUGAGGGCAGCCCGAACUAAUAGUAGGCGCUGACGGCGACCAUAGCCGUUAUCAGUAUGGCAUAUAUGUUGGUAUAUGAUAAAGUGGACUUUUGUCAAAUUGAGUGGUACCGCGGAUAAUAUUCGUCUCAAGU
rnacentral:ncRNA from 1 species